AUUGAACGCUGGCGGCAGGCCUAACACAUGCAAGUCGGGCGGCAGCGGGGGGAAGCUUGCUUCCCCGCCGGCGAGCGGCGGACGGGUGAGUAAUGUCUGGGAAACUGCCUGAUGGAGGGGGAUAACUACUGGAAACGGUAGCUAAUACCGCAUAACGUCUUCGGACCAAAGUGGGGGACCUUCUGGCCUCAUGCCAUCAGAUGUGCCCAGAUGGGAUUAGCUUGUUGGUGGGGUAACGGCUCACCAAGGCGACGAUCCCUAGCUGGUCUGAGAGGAUGACCAGCCACACUGGAACUGAGACACGGUCCAGACUCCUACGGGAGGCAGCAGUGGGGAAUAUUGCACAAUGGGCGCAAGCCUGAUGCAGCCAUGCCGCGUGUAUGAAGAAGGCCUUCGGGUUGUAAAGUACUUUCAGCGGGGAGGAAGGUGUUGAGGUUAAUAACCACAGCAAUUGACGUUACCCGCAGAAGAAGCACCGGCUAACUCCGUGCCAGCCGCCGCCGUAACAC
rnacentral:rRNA from 1 species